UACGUAGGGUGCAAGCGUUAUCCGGAAUUAUUGGGCGUAAAGAGCUCGUAGGCGGUUUGGCGCGUCUGCUGUGAAAACUGGGGGCUCAACCCCCAGCCUGCAGUGGGUACGGGCAGACUAGAGUGCGGUAGGGGAGAUUGGAAUUCCUGGUGUAGCGGUGGAAUGCGCAGAUAUCAGGAAGAACACCGGUGGCGAAGGCGGCUCUCUGGGCCUUACCUGACGCUGAGGAGCGAAAGCGUGGGUAGCGAACAGG
rnacentral:rRNA from 1 species